rnacentral:misc_RNA from 1 species
GAACGCAUCUUGCGCCCCGUGGCAUUCCGCGGGGCAUGUCUGUUUGAGUGUCGUUUGACCUCUCAACCGCUUUGGUAUUCGAUUACAAAAGUCGGCUUGGAACUUCGGUGCCUCUGGCGAAACGCAAAGGUCUUUGCGGACCUGUCGCCCACCCCAAAGUCAGUUGGGCCAACCGCGCGGAUGAGCGGACGGUUUGACCACAGUGUUGUAAGGUUUGCCUCACUGUCGGGACGUCCAUUUCCGUUAGCACGAAGGCAUUUGAAAUACGAUACUAUUGAUUUUGACCUCAAAUCAGACAGGAUUACCCGCUGAACUUAAG